UCCCUGAGACUCUACUUGUGA
rnacentral:miRNA from 1 species